GAUGAACGCUGGCGAGAUGCUUUACACAUGCAAGUCGUACGAGAGUUUUAACUCAAGUGGCGGACGGGUGAGUAACACGUAAGAAUUUGCCUUUAGGAGGGGGACAACAAUUGGAAACGAUUGCUAAUACCCCAUAUGCUUUUGAGUGAAAUGGAUUUUUCCGCCUAAAGAGAAGCUUGCGGCUGAUUAGCUUGUUGGUAAGGUAAUGGCUUACCAAGGCGACGAUCAGUAUCUGGUUUGAGAGGACGAUCAGACACACUGGAACUGAGACACGGUCCAGACUCCUACGGGAGGCAGCAGUGGGGAAUUUUCCGCAAUGGGCGAAAGCCUGACGGAGCAAUCUCGCGUGAGGGAUGAC
rnacentral:rRNA from 1 species